rnacentral:rRNA from 1 species
CCCUUAGAUGUCCGGGGCUGCACGCGCGCUACACUGAAGGAAUCAGCGUGCUAAAACCAUUGUCGAAAGGCAUUGGUAAACCCAUUAAAAUCCUACGUGAUUGGGAUCGGGAAUUGCAAUUAUUUCCCUUGAACGAGGAAUUCCCAGUAAGUGUGGAUCAUAAGCUCGCGUUGAUUACGUCCCUGCCCUUUGUACACACCGCCCGUCGCUGCCCGGGACUGAGCCGUUUCGAGAAAAGCGGGGACUGCUGCUGUCGGGGCUUUCGGGCCUUGGCUUCGGUGGAAACCGCUUUAAUCGCAGUGGCUUGAACCGGGCAAAAGUCGUANCA